AUUGAACGCUGGCGGCAGGCCUAACACAUGCAAGUCGAGCGGAUGAAGGGAGCUUGCUCCUGGAUUCAGCGGAGGACGGGUGAGUAAUGCCUAGGAAUCUGCCUGGUAGUGGGGGAUAACGUCCGGAAAUGGGCGCUAAUACCGCAUCCGUCCUGAGGGAGAAAGUGGGGGAUCUUCGGACCUCACGCUAUCAGAUGAGCCCAGGUCGGAUUAGCUAGUUGGUGGGGUAAAGGCCUACCAAGGCGACGAUCCGUAACUGGUCUGAGAGGAUGAUCAGUCACACUGGAACUGAGACACGGUCCAGACUCCUACGGGAGGCAGCAGUGGGGAAUAUUGGACAAUGGGCGAAAGCCUGAUCCAGCCAUGCCGCGUGUGUGAAGAAGGUCUUCGGAUUGUAAAGCACUUUAAGUUGGGAGGAAGGGCAGUAAGUUAAUACCUUGCUGUUUUGACGUUACCAACAGAAUAAGCACCGGCUAACUUCGUG
rnacentral:rRNA from 1 species